UACGAAGGGGGCUAGCGUUGCUCGGAAUCACUGGGCGUAAAGCGCACGUAGGCGGACUCUUAAGUCGGUGGUGAAAUCCUGGAGCUCAACUCCAGAACUGCCUUCGAUACUGGGAGUCUUGAGUUCGGGAGAGGUGAGUGGAACUGCGAGUGUAGAGGUGAAAUCCGUAGAUAUUCGCAAGAACACCAGUGGCGAAGGCGGCUCACUGGCCCGGUACUGACGCUGAGGUGCGAAAGCGUGGGGAGCAAACAGG
rnacentral:rRNA from 1 species